rnacentral:rRNA from 2 species
CGGAUCAUAGGCCUAUUUCCAGGCGGGCUAUCAUGCAGUCGAGCGAACUGAUUAGAAGCUUGCUUCUAUGACGUUAGCGGCGGACGGGUGAGUAACACGUGGGCAACCUGCCUGUAAGACUGGGAUAACUUCGGGAAACCGAAGCUAAUACCGGAUAGGAUCUUCUCCUUCAUGGGAGAUGAUUGAAAGAUGGUUUCGGCUAUCACUUACAGAUGGGCCCGCGGUGCAUUAGCUAGUUGGUGAGGUAACGGCUCACCAAGGCAACGAUGCAUAGCCAACCUGAGAGGGUGAUCGGCCACACUGGGACUGAAACACGGCCCAAACUCCUACGGGAGGCAGCAGUAGGGAAUCUUCCGCAAUGGACGAAAGUCUGACGGAGCAACGCCGCGUGAGUGAUGAAGGCUUUCGGGUCGUAAAACUCUGUUGUUAGGGAAAAACAAGUACAAGAGUAACUGCUCGUACCUUGACGGUACCUAACCAAAAAGCCACGGCUAACUACGUGCCAGCAGCCGCGGUAAUACGUAGGUGGCAAGCGUUAUCCGGAAUUAUUGGGCGUAAAGCGCGCGCAGGCGGUUUCUUAAGUCUGAUGUGAAAGCCCACGGCUCAACCGUGGAGGGUCAUUGGAAACUGGGGAACUUGAGUGCAGAAAAGAAAAGCGGAAUUCCACGUGUAGCGGUGAAAUGCGUAGAGAUGUGGAGGAACACCAGUGGCGAAGGCGGCUUUUUGGUCUGUAACUGACGCUGAGGCGCGAAAGCGUGGGGAGCAAACAGGAUUAGAUACCCUGGUAGUCCACGCCGUAAACGAUGAGUGCUAAGUGUUAGAGGGUUUCCGCCCUUUUAGUGCUGCAGCUAACGCAUUAAGCACUCCGCCUGGGGAGUACGGUCGCAGACUGAACUCAAGGAAGUGGACGGGGGCCGCACAGGCGGGUGGCAGCCAUGGGUGGCUUUAAUUUCA